UUUUUUUUUUUUUUUUUUUUUUUUUUUUCUGCUACUGGAGAAAGCAUAGAUGCAGAGAGAUCCUCUAGAUUCAGGUGGGUACUUCAUCCACAACCUCCACUGCUGGGAUUUUCACAGUUUUUGCUCAAGGAAUACUUUGGAUGUUCGAUGACCCAGAAGGCCUACUGCAG
rnacentral:lncRNA from 1 species